rnacentral:rRNA from 1 species
GGUUAAGCGACUAAGCGUACACGGUGGAUGCCCUGGCAGUCAGAGGCGAUGAAGGACGUGCUAAUCUGCGAAAAGCGUCGGUAAGGUGAUAUGAACCGUUAUAACCGGCGAUGUCCGAAUGGGGAAACCCAGUGUGUUCCGACACACUAUCAUUAACUGAAUCCAUAGGUUAAUGAGGCGAACCGGGGGAACUGAAACAUCUAAGUACCCCGAGGAAAAGAAAUCAACCGAGAUUCCCCCAGUAGCGGCGAGCGAACGGGGAGGAGCCCAGAGCCUGAAUCAGUGUGUGUGUUAGUGGAAGCGUCUGGAAAGGCGCGCGAUACAGGGUGACAGCCCCGUACACAAAAAUGCACAUGCUGUGAGCUCGAUGAGUAGGGCGGGACACGUGGUAUCCUGUCUGAAUAUGGGGGGACCAUCCUCCAAGGCUAAAUACUCCUGACUGACCGAUAGUGAACCAGUACCGUGAGGGAAAGGCGAAAAGAACCCCGGCGAGGGGAGUGAAAAAGAACCUGAAACCGUGUACGUACAAGCAGUGGGAGCCUCUUAAUGGGGUGACUGCGUACCUUUUGUAUAAUGGGUCAGCGACUUAUAUUCUGUAGCAAGGUUAACCGAAUAGGGGAGCCGGAGGGAAACCGAGUCUUAACUGGGCGUUAAGUUGCAGGGUAUAGACCCGAAACCCGGUGAUCUAGCCAUGGGCAGGUUGAAGGUUGGGUAACACUAACUGGAGGACCGAACCGACUAAUGUUGAAAAAUUAGCGGAUGACUUGUGGCUGGGGGUGAAAGGCCAAUCAAACCGGGAGAUAGCUGGUUCUCCCCGAAAGCUAUUUAGGUAGCGCCUCGUGAAUUCAUCUCCGGGGGUAGAGCACUGUUUCGGCAAGGGGGUCAUCCCGACUUACCAACCCGAUGCAAACUGCGAAUACCGGAGAAUGUUAUCACGGGAGACACACGGCGGGUGCUAACGUCCGUCGUGAAGAGGGAAACAACCCAGACCGCCAGCUAAGGUCCCAAAGUCAUGGUUAAGUGGGAAACGAUGUGGGAAGGCCCAGACAGCCAGGAUGUUGGCUUAGAAGCAGCCAUCAUUUAAAGAAAGCGUAAUAGCUCACUGGUCGAGUCGGCCUGCGCGGAAGAUGUAACGGGGCUAAACCAUGCACCGAAG